rnacentral:rRNA from 1 species
UACGUAGGGCGCAAGCGUUGUCCGGAAUUAUUGGGCGUAAAGAGCUCGUAGGCGGUUUGUCGCGUCUGGUGUGAAAACUCAAGGCUCAACCUUGAGCUUGCAUCGGGUACGGGCAGACUAGAGUGCGGUAGGGGUGACUGGAAUUCCUGGUGUAGCGGUGGAAUGCGCAGAUAUCAGGAGGAACACCGAUGGCGAAGGCAGGUCACUGGCCGCAACUGACGCUGAGGAGCGAAAGCAUGGGGAGCGAACAGG